AAAUUGAUAAUUAAAUUUAUUUAUUUAGAUCCAGAAGAUUCAAAUACGAAGCUAGAUCGAGGAAAGGAAAAAGUUCGGGAUUAGUAGAUUUUUACUGUUUACAAACAAGUAUCAAGUGUUAAGAGCUCGGAGGUCGGAUUUGGUCGGAGACACAUCACACUGUCAACCUCAGGAUUUCGUAAUGUCAUCCGACCGAGCUCAAUCUGAGGAAGCUGGGAGUCAUGCUCCGGCUUCAGUACAAAGAGAAGAAACUAGCAGUAGAAGGCCCGAGACAGAGGGUCGAGGGGAGGAGGCAAAAA